rnacentral:lncRNA from 1 species
AAAGCUGGAAAAAAUCCAAAUGUCACACCAAUCCCCGAAUAAGAGAACUGUGGCAUGUUCAUGUACGGAAUACUAUACAGCAAUGAAAACAAAUAAACUUGUAGGCACACGACAACAGGGAAGUAGGAGAAUACUUAUGCUGGGUCAAAGAAUCUGAACAACCAAAAAAGACUGUUUAUGGUUUGACUCCCUUGAUCUAAAACUCCAUGAAAUGAAAACGAAUCUGUAAGCAUCAGAAAAGGAUGAGCAGUGGCUUGGCACCAAGUGGAGGGAGGAGCAUCAGGUCGUAAGGGGGAUGUGGGAACAUGAGGAGGCAUUUGGGGAUGAUGCAUAUGUUUAUUAUCCAGAUCAUAUUGAUUAUCUUGAUUGUGCGAUAGUUUCAUGAUGCUGCAGAUGUCAAAACUUAUGAAAUCGUACACUUUAAGGAGUCCUGUGUAUUGUGUACCAAUUGUACCUCACUGAUGGGGAGAAAUGAAAGGGAAAGAAGAAAACACCCAAAUACGUGUGAGGGAGAAACCUGGGUGCAGUCUCUACAACCAUGUGUCCAGAUCACAGAGAUCUAAGGGUAGAGGAAGGCUGUCAGUAGGAUGUGAACGGGGACGUCACUAAGAGGACAGGAUUCUGAAGCUAGACGUCCUAAAUUCAAGUCCUAACUCUGUCAUGUACUAACUGUGGGGCCCUGGAAGAUCCACUUUCUCUCUGAGUUUGUUCGUUUCAAAGAAUGGGAAUAAACAUGGGAGCGGCCUUAGAAUGUGAUUUUGAGGGUUCAGUAGAUAAUGCAAAGUCAUCUCAUGAAUAAAGAAAAUCUUUAGGAAGAGGAGAUUCAAAAUUAACAUACGCAAAAAUAUUUGCCACAUGCAGACAUGACAUGGUUAUAAUAAUUUUUAAAAAUAUCUUUAUUUAUCCAUGAGAGACACAGAGAAGCAGAGACACGGGCAGAGGGAGAAGCAGGCUCCAUGCAGGGACCCUGAUGGGGGACUUGAUCCUGGGACCUGGGGUCAUGCCCUGGGCCAAAGGCAGAUGCUCAUCCGUUGGGCCACCCAGGUGUCCCUGGUUAUAAUAAUUUUGACUAUUCCCAUGAUUACGAUUUGCCUAAAAGUUGUAUUGAGAUGUAACCCACGUGCCCCGCAAUUCACUCACCGGAACACCUAAAUCAGUGGUUCUCAGUCUACUCACACCUGGGCAACCGCCCCACCUCUCAGCGGAGAACAUUCCAUCGCCUGCAUGACCCCACUAGUGGCCAUUCCCCAUCCUUGGUGUCUGGCUGCCCUCUCUGGGCGUCGUGCUUUCCAGGUGUGCCCAUGUCACAGGACGGACCAGGGUCACUCCUGCCUAUCACUGAAUGACCCUCCAGCCUGUGGGUCCGCCACACGCCACUCCGGCUAUUACGACUGCUUUGUCUGCAGAAGACGGAGAAGAAAGGAGCAUAGCUGUGACCCUAGUGGCUGGGCAGCGACUCUGAAGUGGUGGGGAAAGACACGCGACCAGAUGGGAGAGGGCAGUGACAAAGGGGCUGGGAAGGUCAUGGGCGCGUGUCACGGCCUCCCGUGCUCCCCAGAGCUGGCCCCACGCGAGCUCCAAGGGAAAACCAAGGCCUCCUUCGCUCCAGACCCAGGUGACCGAGCUGGAGUCACUAAUGCCCUUGGCAGGGGCCACUCAGGCGCAUCCCUAAGUCAUCAGUUCCCUCCAAACUCCCGUCACCCGCCCCUCACCCUCCAGCCCUGGCUUUGCCUUACGGAAGACUACGUGUGAGGAUCCCACGGUAAUGAAGGUAGAAAGACUUAAUUACCUGGAACAUUUUUUUUUUUUUUUUUAAGGGCAAGAAAUGCUUCCAGACUACAUGUGCGAGAGGCCCCCGAGGUGGUGCCUGGCGACCCGUAGCUCCAUGGAGAUCGCCGGGUGCCUGGAGAUUAACAGGGAGAGAAAGCACACACGGCGGGGGGCUAAGGCCACUCGGGG